rnacentral:lncRNA from 1 species
GCUACUAGAGGACGCCCGUUCCAAUGGCAACUCUGCCAAGGCGCCUAUGAGAGCCUCUUGGCUUUUACCUGGUCUGCGAGAAAUCAAACUUUGGGCACAAGUCAUGAAGCCGACAAGCCCGGGAGACACAGUGUCAGAAUUACAAGGUGAGAUCAGCCGCCCGGCCAAGCUAUCUUCUCGCUAGCAGGUCUCGCAUCUGGGGCUCGAUCUCGUGCAGAGGAGCAUUUCCGAAGACACUGGCCGCUCCCACAAUGGCUCCGAAGAACCCAGCGACCAGCGGGUUCAUGAGUUUGUUGGGGCUGUCCACUCGGUACCAGCUGCGCAGGGAUGUCAGGACAAAGAAACAAGUUGCCUGGUUCCAGCCCUGCUUCAGCACGGGGCCUGUGGGGCCCCGGUAAGUCCCGGUGUUCCCGCACAAUCUCCUAACCCUGUGGAAGAAUCCCCUGUACUUGGAUUUGGAGAGGUCUGGCCAUGGAUUAACUUCACCUUGAUGGUCUCCAUGGGACAUAGGACCACCACGGCCUCGGCCACGCUAGCUCACUGGCCGCACCGCUGCCCGCCUUGCUGUUCACCAGUCCCUGGGCAUCCCGCAUCUGGUUGCUGAGGAACGCCUGACGCCGCCUUGUGGAUGAAGCCGCAGAGCAGGGAGCUGAGGCUGCGGCCCAGGCCCAGGCUGCCUUGGCUGCGACUGUGUGCCUGCAGGCCCCAUGCCCGGUAUCCGGUGGAUGCGAGUGCUAGUCCAGCUGCAGCUGCAUCUUCACGAACUCGGUGGGGAACGGGAUGCAGAUUUUUUUUUUCUUUUCCUUCCUUCCUUCCUUCCUUCCAACUUCCUUCCUUCCUUCCCCUUUCUUUCUUUCUUUUUUUUUUUUUUUUUUUUUUGACAGAAUUUUGCUCUUGUCCCCCAGGCUGGAGUGCAGUGGCGCGAUCUUGGCUCACUACAACCUGGAUUCAAGCGAUUCUCCUGCCUCAGCCUCCCGAGUAGCUGGGAUUACAGGCAUGUGCCACCAUUCCCGGCUAAUUUUUUUGUCUUUUUAGUAGAGACGGUGUUUCCCCAUGUUGGUCAGGCUGGUCUCAAACGCCUGACUCAGAUGAUCCGCCCGCCUCGGCCACCCAAAGUGCUGAGAUUACAGGCUUGAACCACCGCGCCUGGCCCUGUGAUGUAGAUUUUGAUGCUGCCAGCCAGGCUGCCUGCCGGGAUCGCCUGCCCUGGAGCAGGAGCAUCAGCCGUGCGUUCCAGGACGCAGGCAUGGCAUGACCGGCAGGAGGCGGAGUGCCCGGCGUCUCUUGGGAUCGGAGCCUCCUGAAUUCCACGCUGGGACCUUAAUUUGGUUUUAACACAAAUAAAGAUCUCACAUAAAGAUAAAA